GGCUGAAACUAUUUGACUUUCUGGUUUCCUGGUUUCACAACUGGCCAUCAGACUCCAAGCGGUCAUUCAACUGGAGCCUCUGACAAUGGCCCCUUCUGCCAGGAACCCUUAGAUAGGUCUCUGAGGGAGCGCUGACUGCCGAUUCCCCCAAACAGCAUUCCCCUGUCAGUCGGAAGUAUUUAAGAUCGGUCUUCAUCCUUAUCGUUAAUCUAAUAGCAGUUAGAUGUACUUCUUUAGAGGGGGGAAUGACAUCAAGGUGGGAGGGGGUCCCUGGAGAAACUCCAACCAGCCUGCCCACUAGGGUGGAGCAUUGGGAAGUUCACGAUGUUUGCAGCAGGGAGGAGCCUGGCCCCUGCUCUUCCAUUGUGGAAACUGAGAUUUGAAUGGCCAGGUGGGAAAUGCUCUGGCAGGGACUCUGGCCUUGUAAGAGUCCCUGUUUGCCCCUUUUCUUCCUUUUCACCCAAUAAAACCCUGCUUUA
rnacentral:lncRNA from 1 species